rnacentral:rRNA from 1 species
GACGAACCGUCCUAACGUUGUUCGGAAUCACUGGGCUUAAAGGGCGCGUAGGCGGGCUGCCAAGUCCGGGGUGAAAUCUUUCGGCUUAACCGGAAAAUAGCCUUGGAUACUGGUAGUCUCGAGGGAGGCAGGGGCCGUUGGAACUUCCGGUGGAGCGGUGAAAUGCGUAGAAUAUCGGGAGGAACACCAGUGGCGAAGGCGACUUCCUGGCCUGUUCUUGACGCUGAGGCGCGAAAGCUAGGGGAGCAAACGGG